rnacentral:hammerhead_ribozyme from 1 species
AUACAACUGACGAGUCUCAAAUAGGACGAAACGCGUUUCCUGGAU